rnacentral:rRNA from 1 species
CCUACGGGAGGCAGCAGUGAGGAAUAUUAGUCAAUGGACGAGAGUCUGAACCAGCCAAGUAGCGUGAAGGAUGACUGCCCUAUGGGUUGUAAACUUCUUUUAUAUGGGAAUAAAACGUUCCACGUGUGGGAUUUUGUAUGUACCAUAUGAAUAAGGAUCGGCUAACUCCGUGCCAGCAGCCGCGGUAAUACGGAGGAUCCGAGCGUUAUCCGGAUUUAUUGGGUUUAAAGGGAGCGUAGGUGGAUUGUUAAGUCAGUUGUGAAAGUUUGCGGCUCAACCGUAAAAUUGCAGUUGAAACUGGCAGUCUUGAGUACAGUAGAGGUGGGCGGAAUUCGUGGUGUAGCGGUGAAAUGCUUAGAUAUCACGAAGAACUCCGAUUGCGAAGGCAGUUCACUGGACUGCAACUGACACUGAGGCUCGAAAGUGUGGGUAUCAAACAGGAUUAGAUACCCGUGUAGUC